UACGAAGGGGGCUAGCGUUGUUCGGAAUUACUGGGCGUAAAGCGCACAUAGGCGGACUACUAAGUCAGGGGUGAAAUCCCGGGGCUCAACCCCGGAACUGCCUUUGAUACUGGUAGUCUCGAGUCCGGAAGAGGUGAGUGGAAUUCCGAGUGUAGAGGUGAAAUUCGUAGAUAUUCGGAGGAACACCAGUGGCGAAGGCGGCUCACUGGUCCGGUACUGACGCUGAGGUGCGAAAGCGUGGGGAGCAAACAGG
rnacentral:rRNA from 1 species